rnacentral:rRNA from 1 species
GACGGAGGAUGCAAGCGUUAUCCGGAAUUAUUGGGCGUAAAGCGUACGUAGGCGGCUUAUCAAGUCUGGGGUCAAAGACCACAGCUUAACUGUGGAAAGGCCUUGGAAACUAGUGAGCUGGAGUGAGGUAGGGGUUGCGGGAAUUCCCGGUGUAGCGGUGAAAUGCGUAGAUAUCGGGAAGAACACCUGAGGCGAAAGCGCGCGACUGGGCCUUAACUGACGCUGAGGCGCGAAAGCUAGGGGAGCAAACGGG